AAUUAACUCAACAUGGAAUGCAGUCUUACAGUAAAAGGCAAAUCCAUGGAACUUUUAGGGAAUAGACCAUAGGUUAGGGCUAGGUGAAGAGUUCUUAGAUUUGAUUCCAAAAGCAGGAUUCAUAAAAGGAAAAAUGAUAAAUUGGACCUUAUAGAAACUAAGAACUUUUUGUAGAACUUUUGCUCUGGGAUGGAUCUUACUAAGAGGAUGCAAAGACAAGCUAGAGGUUGGGGAGAGAAAUAUUUCUAAACCCGAUAGUUGACAAGGCCAGGAUCUGGAAUAUAUCAAGGGCUCUCAAGACUCAACAGAAAAACAACAAGAAAAUAAUCCAUGGGGCUGGGAUUGUGGCUCAGCAGUAGAGUGCUCGCCUAGCAUAGGCGGGACCCGGGUUCGAUUCUCAGCACCACAUAAAAUUAAAGGCAUUGUGUUGUGUCCAUCUACACCUAAAAAAUAAAAUAAAAUAAAAUAAAAAGAAUCCAACUAACACAUAGCAAAGGAACAGAGGUGUGGCUGGGGAAGAUAUGCAGAUGGUGAAGGAGUUCCACCCUCACUGGCCACAAGGGAAAUGCAAAUUCAAACCACAAUGACAUAUCAGUACCUAUUUUAUCUAACAGAAGAGAUUCAAUAAAAAAAUGACAACAGCACAUGUGGAUGAGAAUGGGGAGAAAGCUGGUCUCUCCUUUGCUGCUGAUGAGAGUGUAAAAUGGCACCACUGUGCUGGAGAAUGGUUUGGCAGGUUUGGUUUGUUUGUUUGCAAUACCAGGGAUUAAACCCAGGGUGCUCUACCACUGAACUACAUUCCCAGCCUUUUUUAA
rnacentral:lncRNA from 1 species